GGCAGGUCAUUUUUUGAGGGGUGGCAGCAGGUCGGCAAGCUUAGCGGGCGGGGCGGGGCGGGGGAGCCGCCCUAGGCUACGAGAGGCCGCUGGUCCCGGAGGGGCUGCCGUAGGCCUACCGCGCGGACCGGACCAGCGCGGAGGGGUGGCGGCUGCCGCGGCGCGGCGACUGACUCCCGGGGCGGCGGAGGCGGGGGCGCCGGCGGCGGGUCCUGCUCGAGAAGCAGCCGCGGCAGCUCUCGGAGCUGAUGCUCCAGUAGCUCUUGAUGCGGAUGGCCCUCCUCGUCCGGGUCGCCUCGUUCAAGACCCACGGGAUGAUGUAGCACGAGUUCACCAAGAAGCGGGACGAGUAGCCGCAGCCAUGACCUAACCGACGAUAUAAGUAUUUAAACCGGCAACUCUUGAAGAGACCUACCUUUAAAUGAAACUGAAAACGAUAUUAUGUUGUGAGUAUAAAACACCCCAAGAACCACAUGUAUGAAGAGUUAGAUCGGGAGCAGAAGAGAAGACAUAUGUAUCAGUGUGUUAAACGUGGUCGUCGACGACCUAGACCAUAAGGUCUCUAGUUUCCAAUGGAUUUACCUCAACUAUGUGUACCUUAGGAUGAAAAAUCCUGAAAUCAACCCUUCUAAAAACCCUCGUAGCCUAGUCAACCUCCACCUAACCGAGAUCCUUUUCUUCCAGGAGAACAAGUGUGACCUCGGACGUAACGAAGAGAAGAACCCGUUCCACCUAGGCGCUUCAUGGUGAACUUAAGAUCUACCCAUGUCUAAAAACUUUCGCUGGCUCUAGCCGCUCUAGAACACUGUACACCUACACGUCGACCUCAACGACGGCGGAAGUCUCGAGGCCAACCACCCCAUGAUAAACGAAACCUCCUUCAAUGUAGGACCACCUCUUCGGUAGAAUACACCUCUCAUAAGAAAUGUAGACGACAGCACCGACAACACCACGCUAGUCGUUACUUAACCACAUUGUCGCCUUUUACACCAGUAAAACCCCGACCACCAAAGUAUUAGACCCUGUAUAGACCUCCAGUUCUUCUAAUGAGAAUGGUCCUUGAAGACGGCCACCGUUAAUAACCACAAUAACCACCUGAAGAACCUCGCGAUAAAUUAGUUGAGUGGGAGAUAUAUUGAUUUACCUCCGCUUGUAUAGAAGUAUUCUUUCCCUUUGCUCAGGUCUAGAAACUUCGAACGGAGUAUAGAAACUAUUGUAGGUGACAAAGGAAACACAAUGGUGAUGACUCCUUUACGUCGGGUACAGGACUUAAUCUUUGGUCAAGACCAUAGGUCACGGGAGUAGGUGGACCUUGUCUACCCUUAAAGCAAUUAAAAAUGACGAGUUUUCUAUUACUUAUGUUACUAGACCGUUGGUAAAAGAAGUUAAGAGUCCUACUACGUUAUGCGUUAGACAAGUCACGUUUUUGUAAGGUACUCAUGUCACGUGUUUCGGAAUAGUGGAAGGACCAGUACAAAAUGAGGAAUCGAUAACAUUGUAAACCUUGACGACAAGGUCGACCAGUUAAACAGGGUCCUUAUUACUAACCUAGAUGCAUACCGGCCGAACAACCUUACAGACAACAAUUCAAGAUAUUCUUUGAUUUACAACUGCUCCCGUGCAUACGAGAUGAACCACGACGAAGCAAAGAACCACCAAGCUACUCUUACUGACAGAGAAAUACACAAUAAUACCAACUCUAAUGUUUGUUGAAUGUUGAGAACGGUAAUUAGUACGAACAAGAAGAUUAGAGAUUCCGACAACCACUAAAAAAAUUACUCCCCGAUAUACUUCUCGUCCGGGCUAAUUUCCCGUAGGGAAAUGAACUGAGAUCCGGAUUUGUUCACUACUCUUUGUACUUACGCUUCCUACGGACGUUCUUAGUUUUCCAACACACGGAAGGAGCACAAAGUUCUCAACAACUAUAACAAAGACAAGACGUUUCGUUGUUCGUGUUACCGAAGGGAUAACAACUUGCACCCGUCUUACCGCUCAGCGAACAGUAUCCAGAGUAUGAAGCAUCAGUGAACAACCACGAAAACGUUAGAUUUCAUCUAAAGGUCUUAUGAGGAAAGGGAACACCCGGACCGCAUGACUUGUCCGUGUUAAAAUCACUGAAACAAUUCGGUCGAAGUUCAUUCCCUUUCAGUUAACUACUAUAAGUAAACUGCCUACUCCUUGAACCCAACAUAAAUCUAGAGCGGGGUAAAGAUUUAGGCAGAGGAAUGUAUCACGGUCUCCUGUACAGAAACCGUUUCCACAUGUUAGAGAAGGCGGUUGAUCCUAACUCCGUAUAUAAACAGCAAGGAGCCGGAAGAGCACAGCAUCCUGACUAUUGUUCUUUUCUAGAGAAUGAGCUCCUCCUACCGUUAUGGCGCUGUUGUCUCGAGGUCAGCUGGUCAUCGGAUGGACUUGCCAUUUUGCCGUCCCCCCUCGCGCGUGGACCUCGCAGGAGAAGAACUGUCGGACUACUAAGUUCCUCAUUUAUGUAUCGUGUUAUGUUAGUUUCUAUUUAAAACUAUCGUUCGUCAAUUGGAACAAGGUGACGUACAGCCUUACCGUGUGUUUGGUUCGUUGCGGGCUGCUCGAUGUCUACGUCCUAGGAAGCUCCAGCUACGUUGCCCUCCUACCGGGGUACGCCACCACUGAUCAAUCCGCUAAACAUUUGUUUUUUACAAAUAUCUGAGUGACUACAAGCAUCGGCAGUAGGUACAUUUGGUGCUCUUUUAACUUUAAGAAGGCUCAUUUAAGGAAGCGACACCAGCUGUACUGUACUACUCCUUCUAUAUCGUCCAACGCAACCAGGACAGUCAACAAUCCAAAUCCACUGUGACGAGAGCGACACUAGACACGUGGCCCAGCUUAGAAACAGCAGAGCAAAUCAAACCCAAGCAGGUAUCGAAUAUCAUGCAC
rnacentral:rRNA from 1 species